AUGGGAGAGGCUCCAAAAUCCACCCAAAUCAUCGACCUCCAGCCCCCCGGGGGGUCCCUGCGCCUCCUCUGCCGCGCCUCGGGGUUCACUUUCGGCAGUUUCGGCAUGUACUGGGUCCGCCAGAGACCCGGGCAGGGGCUGGAAUUCGUCGCGGGGAUCAGCAGCGAUGGUGCUUACACCGCGUACGCGCCGUCGGUGAAGGGGCCGGGCGACGAUCUCCAGGGCCAACGGGCAGAGCUCGGUGACGCUGACCAUGAACGGCCUCAAGGACGAGGAUUCCGGCUCCUAUUUCUGUGCCAAAAACGCCGAUGGUUGUUGUGCUGAUCCUGCUGCUGCUGCCUCUGAAACUUCCCCCAGACCUCAUCCCCUGA